UACGGAGGAUGCAAGCGUUAUCCGGAUUUAUUGGGUUUAAAGGGUGCGCAGGCGGACCGGUAAGUCAGGGGUGAAACUUUACAGCUUAACUGUAAACGUGCCUUUGAUACUGCCGGACUAGAGUUUAAGAGACGUAAUUGGAAUGUGAUGUGUAGCGGUGAAAUGCUUAGAUAUAUCACAGAACGCCAAUCGUGAAGACAGAUUACGAACUUAAUACUGACGCUCAUGCACGAAAGCGUGGGGAUCAAACAGGAUUAGAUACCCUGGUAGUCCACGCUGUAAACGAUGAUCACUCGUUGUUGGAUGGUAACAUUCAGUGGCCAAGGGAAACCGAUAAGUGAUCCACCUGGGGAGUACGAUCGCAAGGUUGAA
rnacentral:rRNA from 1 species